rnacentral:rRNA from 1 species
AACGUACCCUUCUCUACGGAAUAGCCUUUGGAAACGAAUAGUAAUACCGUAUACGCCCUUUGGGGGAAAGAUUUAUCGGGGAAGGAUCGGCCCGCGUUAGAUUAGAUAGUUGGUGGGGUAACGGCCUACCAAGUCUACGAUCUAUAGCUGGUUUUAGAGGAUGAUCAGCAACACUGGGACUGAGACACGGCCCAGACUCCUACGGGAGGCAGCAGUGGGGAAUCUUAGACAAUGGGCGCAAGCCUGAUCUAGCCAUGCCACGUGAGUGAUGAAGGCCUUAGGGUCGUAAAGCUCUUUCGCCUGUGAUGAUAAUGACAGUAGCAGGUAAAGAAACCCCGGCUAACUCCGUGCCAGCAGCCGCGGUAAUACGGAGGGGGUUAGCGUUGUUCGGAAUUACUGGGCGUAAAGCGCACGUAGGCGGAUUGGAAAGUUGGGGGUGAAAUCCCGGGGCUCAACCCCGGAACUGCCUCCAAAACUAUCAGUCUAGAGUUCGAGAGAGGUGAGUGGAAUUCCAAGUGUAGAGGUGAAAUUCGUAGAUAUUUGGAGGAACACCAGUGGCAAAGGCGGCUCUCUGGCUCGAUACUGACGCUGAGGUGCGAAAGUGUGGGGAGCAAACAGGAUUAGAUACCCUGGUAG